UACGUAGGGGGCAAGCGUUGUCCGGAUUUAUUGGGCGUAAAGAGCUCGUAGGCGGUUCGAUAAGUCGGCUGUGAAAUCUCCACGCUUAACGUGGAGGGGUCAGUCGAUACUGUCGUGACUCGAGUCCGGUAGGGGAGAAUGGAAUUCCCGGUGUAGCGGUGAAAUGCGCAGAGAUCGGGAGGAACACCCGUAGCGAAGGCGGUUCUCUGGGCCGGUACUGACGCUGAGGAGCGAAAGCGUGGGGAGCAAA
rnacentral:rRNA from 1 species